rnacentral:piRNA from 1 species
GAAAUUCGAGCACCCAUGUUAGCACAG